rnacentral:rRNA from 1 species
AUUGAACGCUGGCGGCAGGCCUAACACAUGCAAGUCGAGCGGAUCGGCGGACGAGUGAGUAAUGCCUGGGAAUCUGCCUUGUAGUGGGGGAUAACGUCCGGAAACGGGCGCUAAUACCGCAUCCUAUCAGAUGAGCCUAGUUCGGAUUAGCUAGUUGGUGGGGUAAAGGUCUACCAAGGCGACGAUCCGUAACUGGUCUGAGAGGAUGAUCAGUCACACUGGAACGGAGAUACGGUCUAGAAUUGUACGGGAGGCAGGAGUGGGGAAUAUUGGACAAUGGGCGAAAGACUAAUCCAGCCAUGCCGCGUGUGUGAAGAAGGUCUUCGGAUUGUAAAGCACUUUAAGCUGGGAGGCGGUACCAACAGAAUAAGCACCGGCUAAAGUCGUGCCAGCAGCCGCGGUAAUAC